rnacentral:rRNA from 1 species
GACGAACGCUGGCGGCGUGCUUAACACAUGCAAGUCGAACGGAAAGGCCUCUUUCGGGGGGUACUCGAGUGGCGAACGGGUGAGUAACACGUGAGUAACCUGCCCUUGACUUUGGGAUAACUUCAGGAAACUGGGGCUAAUACCGGAUAGGAGCUCCUGCUGCAUGGUGGGGGUUGGAAAGUUUCGGCGGUUGGGGAUGGACUCGCGGCUUAUCAGCUUGUUGGUGGGGUAGUGGCUUACCAAGGCUUUGACGGGUAGCCGGCCAGGGAGGGUGACCGGCGGCUUUGGAGCUGACGGACGGCCGGAGUGCCGACGGGGGGAAGAGGGGGGAAAGUUUGAACAAGGGGUGCAGGCUGUGUGAAGAAGGCCCGGGGGGGGGAUAGCGGCGUUGGGGUGAAAGACAGUUUUCGCCAGAAAGGACGUUUGGGGGGACGGGAGGGGAAAAAAAAGCACGGGCUAACUACGGG